GGUCUUUUCUUCUUUUCCGUGUCCAUGUCUCUCAUCUCUCCUGAGCCAUGGCCGUGGCCCUCCGCCCGUGUGAGGACACCUGACAAGAAGUCAGCUAUCUCAUCCUGCAGAUCGGUGAAGAAAGAAGAUGAAAAAGAUCGGAGGGUGUGACUGACCUGAUGUUGUCGUCUGCUCCUCCCACCACUACCAUGCUGUUGUCGGCCCUCAGCUUCUCUCUGAGCUCCUCCAUUCCUUCUAUGCUACACUGCAGAGCAUUUUGGCCAACCACAAACAACACUGGGGUCUUCAUGUCCAGCAAGGGGUCAUCCACAUCCUGUCAACAGGGAACACAUUAACAUUCACUACAAUUACUGACAUGAAAACAAGAGUUGUUUUCUUAGUAGAAAUGAGGAAACAAUAUAAAUAUUAACAUAUGAAAGUAAUAACGUAUAUCAUUGGAAGAUAAAGAUCUUACCCCUCGUGGCCCGUUGACUGUUAGCAGGGGGAAGCCGAGACACACCACAGCGGUCAGAUACUCCAUAAGGGAUACCUGUAA